rnacentral:misc_RNA from 1 species
GAUGAAGAACGUAGUAAAAUGCGAUAAGUAAUGUGAAUUGCAGAAUUCAGUGAAUCAUCGAAUCUUUGAACGCACAUUGCGCCCGCCAGUAUUCUGGCGGGCAUGCCUGUUCGAGCGUCAUUUCAACCCUCAAGCACAGCUUGGUGUUGGGACUCGCGUUAAUUCGCGUUCCCCAAAUUGAUUGGCGGUCACGUCGAGCUUCCAUAGCGUAGUAGUAAAACCCUCGUUACUGGUAAUCGUCGCGGCCACGCCGUUAAACCCCAACUUCUGAAUGUUGACCUCGGAUCAGGUAGGAAUACCCGCUGAACUUAAGCAUAUCAAUAGCGGAGGA